GGAAGUAAAAGUCUAACAAGGUUUCCGUAGGUGAACCUGCGGAAGGAUCAUUAUUGUAUAACCGAGGUGCGAGGGCUGUCGCUGACCCGAAAGGUCGUGCACGCCCGAGUGCCCUCACACACAUCCAUCUCACCCCUAUGUGCACCACCGCGUGGGUCCCCCUUUGGCUUGUUCGGAGGGGGGCUUACGUUUUCACACAAACUUUGUAUGCAGUGUAGAAUGUAUUUUUUGUUUUUGCGAUCACGCAAUCAAUACAACUUUCAAGGACGGAUCUCUUGGCUCUC
rnacentral:misc_RNA from 1 species